UUUUUAUUUCAUUUUUAAAUUGGUAGGUAUUUUGUUGGAAUGGUCAAUGCGUAUGAAAUGAGGUUGGUUGACUUGGAAUUUGGGGUCUGGGGUCAAUAUUAUUAAGCAGGAAAACAAAUAAAGCUACAGGAUACAAGUCAACAAUCGUUAUAAUGCAUAGCACUGGAUUCCCGCUCACCUGCAAGCAGUCGGUGCCCAUUUCAAGAGCAAAAGAGCUUCCUUCGCAUCUCUGCAACCUUCUCCCUUCCACUUUCCGCACAGCACACAGAUUAAGACUAUUUCCCAUAAAUUCCACCAAUUUACCGGAACCGGAUUCCAGGUUAAUGGUGGGGUGAUCGCUUGGGAGUGUUAAGGUAUAUUUACACACACACACACA